AGAGAUUCAUUUCUCUCCGGUUAGCAACAGACAAAAAUAAAACACUGAAACUCUCGCGCCCUUCGCUUCCUUCGUAAACAAGCUCUGCACAGUAACAGCAAAUCAAGAACCAAACAAGAAAAACACAACCAAAAAAAAAAACUCUCACUCUCAGAGAGCUCUCACCAAGCUCUCUGCAUCUGCUCUAAAAACUCGUGGAAAUUCAAAAAUUGCUUUAACUAAGAAGCGAGGGAAAAAUAAAAUACCGUGUGUUUUGGAAAUGGAUUCUUGGAAUUUUUUAGGGUUUGAUUAGAGACUAGGAAUUUAGAAAUAGGAAUCAAUGGCUGAUAUGGAAGAAAAGAAAGUGCAAGAAGAAGAGGAAGCGGAGUACGAGAGCGAUUCGGAGGCGGCGUUGCAGUGGGCAGCGCGGAGAAGAGAAGCGAGUGACGAAGAUGAGAGCGAGAAGGAAGGUAUAGAGAGGUUUCGGGUGGUUAGGAUUGGCGGCGAAGAUGGAUCGGACGGUCUUGAUGGAGCUCCAGAGUACUAUGACCAAGAGUCUUAUGGAGACGAGGUUGGAGAAGAAAUGGAAGAAGUUGAGGUGGAGGAGCGUGAAGCGCAAGGUAGUGUUGGUAAUGAAGAUGAAGAUAGGGUUUCGGAGGUGGUGGUUGUGAACCAGGAAAGAGAGGAGGUUCUUGAUGUUCCGAGAGUGGGAAAGUUUUACAUGCACGACGAUAGGUUUGGAGGCAAACGCCGUGGCCGUCAUUGGUACUCCAAGAGUACUCCUGGUAGAGUGGACUUGUGGAAGCCUCAAGAUGAACAGCAGUGGAAGCAUGACAAGUUUGAACAGAUGACUCUGCCAGAAACACGCAUUAAGGAACUUCAUGGUAGUUGGAUUCCUAAGGGUCAUCAUCAAGGACACAUAAAGGAUCAAGGCAAAGGCCGUGGGUACAUAAGAGCUAACCAGUAUAGACCCCAUGAUAACUUUGUAAAUCAAGAUGAUUCAUUAAGAAUUGUAAGGGGGAGGGGACCUGUUAGGUAUAGACCUGAUUUGUGGAGAAACCAUGUAAGAAUUGUAGGGGGAAGAGGGGCUAUAAGGUCUAAGCCUUUUAUGAAGAGCAGCGAUGUAGUCCCUCCAACAAAGUAUGAAAGCUCUGGAAAGUUCAGAGGAAGUACUUCUGAUACUAAUUCAGCCAGAAUGUUAUCACACUCUUCAAAUAUUCAGUCUGAUUCACUUGCCUCAAAGAAUCUUAUUUCUGCAUCAUCUUUGGGUUCUGCUUCUCCUUUGUUUACCAUUGUGAGCUCUUCUAGUCACGAGGAGUCUUUGAAACAGAAAAUAAAUGCACAUGGAAGAUCCAAUAGAUAUCAUCCGACUUUUGUGCCAUGGGAUGAUACUAAAUGUUCCAACACAUCUCUGCAAGGGAAAACUUUAGCUGAUUCUUUUGACUGGGAUAAGCUUUCCAUUGAGGAUUCCUCUCAGACAGUUGCGGAGAAUUAUUUGACCAAUCUGCAUUUGCAGUCUCCAAUGGCCUGUGCAAAAUAUAUGGUUGAAUCUCCCCAGCUGAAGGGUCAGAGAAGCAGUUUCUCUCUCUCAAAAAAGAAUUCUCAUCAGUCAAACCCAUCUUCUAAUCAAGUUAAUAGAGAUCCUCUGCAAGCACGGCCCCUUGUUGUUCAACAAAGGUCCACUGAAAGCACAGUUCAACCUCCUGUACAACUUUAUACUCAGCAGUUGCAUCCUGGAAGUAGAUCUCAACCAUCAUCUGAGUCUUGGUCACCAUAUUCAUCUGAACCAGUAAUGUUGGAUUCUCUACCAAAAUCGGGUAAAACAGAAGUCGCGUUGGUUGGAAAAGAAAGCGGUGCAGUUCAAGCAAGCAAAAGAGGUUCCUUUCAAUAUGAUGGAACUAUUGCUCAUCAUAACAAUGCUGCCAAUCCAUCACUUCUGCCUGGUCUGCAAUUUGGGGGUCUGCAUCAUGGUGGUCUUGCUGAUCCUGCUGUUUGUAUGGCUUUCCCUGGAUAUGUUGGUCAAUCCCAAGUUGGAUUUGGAAAUUCUGAGAUUACAUGUAUAAGCAUCCUAAGAAUUGAGGGUGUUCUCUCCAGGUUACCAGUCCUCACAGGUUCUGCUGGAACUAUUGGUGCUGCAUAUCCUUCUCCCCAUGUUACUCUUGAUGAUGGUUACGCGGCUCAUUUUCCAGGGCAGUUGUCUUCUGUUGGUGUCUCUAGAAAUAUAGCAGGCACAAACAAACGUAGUGAGGGCAAUAGGCAUCCAGAUAGAAGUGAAAAUUUGAGUGAUGAACCUUCUAAGCGACACUUCAAACCUCGGAGAUAUUCAGAGAUGAACUUUAACAAGGAAAGAGAAUAAAGUAGAUUGUUUGAGAAUCAGACCCUCCCUGUUCUUGAUCUCCAUCCAUAUUUAAUUCUGGUUGCUACAAGUUGUGGUUUAUUUUCAACUAUUUUAGCUCUACAAGAAAUGCCUACACCAUGAUGCAGUUAAUUGAGUCGAACCAUUGUUGAAUUGGCGAGCAACUUUAUCUUCAUAUAUACAUGGCAAAUCCUUGGGUUAGUGUUCCCUGUACAGCGAAUAUGGAUUUAAGGCCUAAAAAUGCUUGGAAAGAUUUGGACUAUGUGCAAAAUUAUGAUUCUGGUCUAGUGCUUAUUCCCUUUCUAAGAUCUCCUUCACCCUUUUGCCCCCAGAUUGAUAUGAAAGCGUAUUAGAAUUUAGAAAAGAGAGAAAAAGAGCAGACUAUACAGUUGUUACUUGAAAUUGCGUUAGAACUUGCUGAUGCUGUCACCGCAUUAAUGUUUUGUUUUGGUGCUUAAGAUUCAUAUAUGCAAAAAGUAUGAUGUUUUGACA